GCUCUCCACGUCAGACAAAAGACCUAUGGUGCUACAUAUUCUAUCUGGUGCACGUGACUACGAGAUCGAGUAACCUGGAAGAAGAAUACAUAUUUUAUUUGGUUGCCGUGACAGUUUCGACCUUUAGGGUAAGCAGAAAAUUUGGAAGAAGAUUAGAAGAAAAGAGAGUAUGCAUCACACGUUGGAUGUGGGGAGUUCUCUCGUAAUAUUUUCCACAUCUAACCAGUGACUGCAUAGCACUGCAUAGUCUUACAUAUUCUAUUUGGUGUCGUAAUGAAAUAUCAACCUUUGGGGUAAGAAGUCACUUUAGAAGAAGAAUACAUAUUUGAAGACGUUAAGAAGAAAACCUGUACAAUCCAGCAACAGAAAAAGUCUGGUGGGAAAAAAAAUCUGGUGGAGAUAUUCGAAAAAUUGGGUAAAUACAUUUUGUUUGGAAAAUUAAAUGUGUUAAAUUUGUUUAAAGACCAAAUAAUAUUAAUUUUAAGUUAAAAUCUGUUUAGAAACUAAGUAUUUAAAAUUUAACUGUAGGAAAUACAUUAUAGCCAUUCAUAAGUUUUGAUUGAUAUGUAUAUUAUCGGGUUAAUAUGACCUGUAGUAAAUUUGAGUAAAAUUAAAGUUAAAGAGAAAGUUUAGGGAGUAGGUUUUAAAAAAAAUGUUUUGAUAUAACUAAGGAAUAGUAAUGAUAAGGAAACGGAAUAGGGAAUAAAGUAAGGAACUAAUGUUGUCUCCGGAUCGCAGUGAGAACGACGGCAGAGCUAAGGAUGAAGUUUGUGAGUGAUUAACUCUAGUUUCCUAGUUGGCCGUGGUUUCUACUGUGAUUCGUUAAUUUGUGUUUUUUGUUGUUUCGUAUACUAUAUAAUUUUAAGGCCCUUAGUCCAGGCCUUAGAGUUGUUGUAAUUUAACUUUUGAUUAAAAAGUUAGGUUAUGUUGAAAAUCCCAUAUGGUUCAUCUAGGGAUGUUGGUUAUAGUUUUCCUGGGAAAAACUAAAAUUAUUGGCACGUUAAAUUGUGAGAUUAUCGCAAAGUCAUUAAUACGAGUUUUAUAGGAGGUUAAAGUUAAGAAUACGACACUUUUUUUUAGAAAAGUGGAGAUAUACGGUAAAUUUUGUCCGUAUAUAAUUUUAUGUAAUUAAAUUUUUGCUUAGAAACGUAAUAUUAACGUUUAAUAUAUACUGCUAAUUGCUUUAAGCUGUCGACAUGGACGCAAGGAUUAGAAUGUGUAAUUUGACAUGAGGUCGAAUUAUUAUAAACAAUAGUAUUCAUACUGUGUUAAAUUUGACGUGUUUAAAAGUCACGUUAUGCGUUAAUAUAUAGGAUAUAGUUAGGUAUGUUCUAAUUGUUUUGUUUAUAGAAUAUAGACUGGUGUUCCGAGGGAGUGAAGUGCACGUCACUUGCUUUGAACAUGAUUCUAAAUAAUGUUUAUAUACAUGUGAUACUAAUGUGGAAUAAGUAACCAUGGGCUUGUUUCAUGUAUUGGUUUUUGACUAACAUACAAAAUGGUGGAUUAUAAUGAUUAGGUCAAAAAGGUCACAUUACUGACGGUGAAAUAUAAAAUAACAAUGUAGGAAUUCUAAAACAGAAACGGAAAUUAAAAAACAUAAACGUAAUUCUAAAAUUGUCCAUUACUCAGUUCAGGUCAAGAGGUCAAACUUAGUUUGAAAAUUUCUAAUUAAAGGGACACAUCAACGUUUAUUAAUACUUAAAUAAAGUUUAAUUUUCAUUACAGUAAGAUUUGCUAAUACGUUUUCGAAAUAAUAUAUUAAUAAUAAUGUUAGACUAAUAGCAACAUAAAGUUUUUAAAAAAAAUAGUAAUAGUUAGUUCUUGGUCUGAUGGCAAUGACAUGUUUGAUUGACGGAUAAAAUUGUAUAAACCAAUCAUACUUAGAAGAAAAAAAGAAAGUUUCAACUUGAUACUAUGGUAGCUGGAACAGACCAAUACAAAUCCAAGAAGAAGAAAUGGUUUAUCAGUUUACUAAAUUGAGAUUUCCUGAGACAGAAUUUGAAGUGAAACCUGAACUUUAUAAACAUUACGUGAUGUGUUAUAGUGUUUUGAAAUUAGGACACUUGAAGAUUUAAAAAAGACAAUUUGUGUUUUCUGUGUUUUGGCUUAGUGAAUUUUCAUAGGAUUUUACAGAGAUGAACUUUUUGGAGAACUUUUGCAUGCAACUUUUGAUUUUUGAUUUUUGAUUAUGUGUGUUUGUGUUUUCAGUUUUGUUAUAUAGUAUAGUAUCAUUGAUAUUUGCCUGUUGCAUGAAUAAUUAUAGGGUUUAGCACAUAGACGUUUUAAGAGUCUCCUACCUGUUCAUUUAGCAUAAAUCUUAGAAGGCGGGGAGGUGAUAAUUAUAUAUGUUGAUUUUCUAGAUUUCUGCUACAUUUAUGAAUAGUUAUAUAAUUCUACAGAUGUUGGUAUGGUUAUUGUAAAGGAUUCAAGGGAUCUUUUACCCAAUACCGAGCAAAAAGUCUUAAAGAAAGGGACGAAUGUAAUACUUUUAGUAGAAUUUUUGCUCGAGAAAUAACAUAUUCGCAUAAUAUGUGAUAUGUACUUAAAAUACUUAAAUCAACUUAGUCUGUAAUUGAUAGUUGACACAUAAAAAAGAGCGAUUUAUCGAAAACAUAUGUCACUCAUUUACCACCGAAUUACACGUGAGUGGAAUUAUUCUAAUUGCAUCAUUUGAUUUAAAGUAACCAAUCAUUUUGUUAAUUACACAAGUUCAGGGCCAUGAUCACGCGUUAUUGUGCAUGAUAUUCACUUACCUUUAAAAGAAACCGGGGAACCCUGUAAGUCAGACUUGCAUUAGAUUCCAGAGAUCGAGGGUACAUCUGAGUUCCUAGACAGCCGAGAGGCUGGAUAGGGUGGAGAAGUGGUUUUAGCUAUAUAGUAUUGUAAUUUGUGCUAUGCUUGUAUACCUGUAUUCAGUUAUAUGCUAUAUAAAAUGUAGAAGCGAA